GACGAACGCUGGCGGCGUGCUUAACACAUGCAAGUCGAACGGACAGGCCCUGCUUUUGUGGGGUGCUCGAGUGGCGAACGGGUGAGUAACACGUGAGUAACCUGCCCUUGACUUUGGGAUAACUUCAGGAAACUGGGGCUAAUACCGGAUAGGAGCUCCUGCUGCAUGGUGGGGGUUGGAAAGUUUCGGCGGUUGGGGAUGGACUCGCGGCUUAUCAGCUUGUUGGUGGGGUAGUGGCUUACCAAGGCUUUGACGGGUAGCCGGCCUGAGAGGGUGACCGGCCACAUGGGGACUGAGAUACGGCCCAGACGCCUACGGGAGGCAGCAGGGGGGAAUAUUGCACAACGGGCGGAAGCCUGAGGCAGCAACGCCGCGUGCGGGAUGACGGCCUUCGGGUUGUAAACCGCUUUCGCCUGUGACGAAGCGUGAGUGACGGUAAUGGGUAAAGAAGCACCGGCUAACUACGUG
rnacentral:rRNA from 1 species